rnacentral:pre_miRNA from 1 species
GGAAGAUUGUUUAUGAGAGUAUUAUAAGUCACUACAUUUUGGUAGACCCAAGUGUUGUUUUCCCAAACGAAGUGACUUAUAAUACUCUCAUGAAUGGAUUUUGCA